UGGGGACUUUUGGACAAUGGGGGAAACCCUGAUCCAGCCAUCCCGCGUGUGCGAUGAAGGCCCUCGGGUUGUAAAGCACUUUUGGCAGGAAAGAAACGUCAUGGGUUAAUACCCCGUGAAACUGACGGUACCUGCAGACUAAGCACCGGCUAACUACGUGCCAGCAGCCGCGGUAAUACGUAGGGUGCAAGCGUUAAUCGGAAUUACUGGGCGUAAAGCGUGCGCAGGCGGUUCGGAAAGAAAGAUGUGAAAUCCCAGAGCUCAACUUUGGAACUGCAUUUUUAACUACCGGGCUAGAGUGUGUCAGAGGGAGGUGGAAUUCCGCGUGUAGCAGUGAAAUGCGUAGAUAUGCGGAGGAACACCGAUGGCGAAGGCAGCCUCCUGGGAUAACACUGACGCUCAUGCACGAAAGCGUGGGGAGCAAACAGG
rnacentral:rRNA from 1 species